UAACCUGCCCAAGAGACUGGGAUAACACCUGGAAGCAGAUGCUAAUACCGGAUAACAACACUAGACGCAUGUCUAGAGUUUAAAAGAUGGUUCUGCUAUCACUCUUGGAUGGACCUGCGGUGCAUUAGCUAGUUGGUAAGGUAACGGCUUACCAAGGCAAUGAUGCAUAGCCGAGUUGAGAGACUGAUCGGCCACAUUGGGACUGAGACACGGCCCAAACUCCUACGGGAGGCAGCAG
rnacentral:rRNA from 1 species